CGGGUCGUUAGCUCAGUUGGUAGAGCAGUUGACUUUUAAUCAAUUGGUCGCAGGUUCGAAUCCUGCACACCCACCCA
rnacentral:tRNA from 1 species